GCGCCGCCCCCUUCUCCUGGUCUGCUAGACCCAGCCCAGCGAGCAAAUAACAAGAGGAAAGUGGAGAGGCGGGGCUGGCUGAGCUCCCACCUUCGGGGAGGUGGGAAUUAAAUUGCCUCUUGGGGGCGACGGCGACAGCCCAAGCCAAGCUGAAACAAGCAUGGUAUCGGGGGAUGCUGUCAUCGUACCUAGAACGCUGGAAGAACCCGCACUACAGAGAAAGAGGAGGGAAAAUGCAGUUACACUGGAGCCACAAGUGCUUCCAAAGCACAGCAUAAGGCUGAGCCCCGCUUUACUCUGCAACUUGGAGGAAGAGUAAAGCUAUUCACUAACCAGGACGCACUCAGAAGUGGCAAGGAUGUCACUGCUUCCCACUAGUACAGGUUGGUCCCCCUUCUGUGCGUGCCAAAGGACUUGGGGAAGGAGAGGGGAUGACACAAAUAAUGGGUGACUAUCAAGGCCGGCUGAAACUGAUGGACCCCUGCUUAGAGAUCACUGAGAGGUUGUAGUAUCAGAGUAUUUUAAGGGAGGAGAUAUUUCAACAGGGACUAAGUAGCCUGGGAGAUAUACCAUGUGUGUCUGGCUUUUUCUCAUCCACAGUAACAUUUCAGGUUCUUUAGACAUAAAGCAGCAAGUUAAUGUGGUCAUUCUGGCAAUCCAGCAAGCACAAUGUAUAUUUAUACAGAUACAUUCAAGUUUUGCAAGAGCGCAGAGUAUCAUGCAGUAGGCAGCCUUCAGAGAAGAAAUGCAUGAGCUGAAAAAUGUACUAGUAGAUUUCCCACAGAAACCGAGAAUCAAUAAUGUCCUUUUAUUUUACUGGAAAAGGCAAUUCAAGCAGCAAAGAUUUUUAACAUGCAUUAGCAAUGAAUAAAGCUGUUUAAUUUCUGAA